rnacentral:rRNA from 1 species
AUUGAGCGCUGGCGGCAUGCCUUACACAUGCAAGUCGAACGGCAGCACGGGGGCGAACCCUCGGUGGCGAGUGGCGAACGGGUGAGUAAUGCAUCGGAACGUGUCCUCUUGUGGGGGAGUAACCAGUCGAAAGAUUGGCUAAUACCGCAUGAGAUCGAGAGAUGAAAGCGGGGGACCCGGAGGGUAACUUCGGGCCUCGCGCGAGAGGAGCGGCCGAUGCCGGANAGCUAGUUGGUGGGGUAAGAGCCUACCAAGGCGACGAUCGGUAGCUGGUCUGAGAGGAUGAUCAGCCACACUGGGACUGAGACACGGCCCAGACUCCUACGGGAGGCAGCAGUGGGGAAUUUUGGACAAUGGGCGCAAGCCUGAUCCAGCCAUGCCGCGUGCGGGAAGAAGG